GUUUGCCCGUUUGUGGAUAUCAUUCAGCACCAAGGAUAGGUGUGUUCACCUGUGCAUGGAUGGUGUUAAGCACAAAGGAAAGAAUAUCUAUUA
rnacentral:pre_miRNA from 1 species